rnacentral:rRNA from 1 species
ACGGGAGGCAGCAGUGGGGAAUAUUGGUCAAUGGGCGCAAGCCUGACCCAGCAACGCCGCGUGAAGGAAGAAGGCUUUCGGGUUGUAAACUUCUUUUGACAGGGAAGAGUAGAAGACUGUACCUGUCGAAUAAGCCACGGCUCACUACGUGCCAGCAGCCGCGGUAAUACGUAGGUGGCAAGCGUUGUCCGGAUUUACUGGGUGUAAAGGGCGUGUCGCCGGGUCGGUAAGUCAGAUGUGAAAUCCACGGGCUCAACUCGUGAACUGCAUUUGAAACUGCUGAUCUUGAGUAUCGGAGAGGCAAUCGGAAUUCCUAGUGUAGCGGUGAAAUGCGUAGAUAUUAGGAGGAACACCAGUGGCGAAGGCGGAUUGCUGGACGACAACUGACGGUGAGGCGCGAAAGCGUGGGGAGCAAACAGGAUUAGAUACC